ACACUUCAGAAUCAGGCAAUCCCUCCAGAUCAAGGAUGACUUGCUUCCGCUCCAGCACUGUGGGUUCUGAGGUGACUGGUAAGACCAGUGUGGGAAUUGCAGAAAUGCCUGACCUGGCAGGAUAGAAUUGCACCAACUGCAAUAUUGGAC